UACGUAGGGUGCAAGCGUUGUCCGGAAUUAUUGGGCGUAAAGAGCUCGUAGGCGGUCUGUCGCGUCUGCUGUGAAAAUCCAGGGCUCAACCCUGGACCUGCAGUGGGUACGGGCAGACUAGAGUGCGGUAGGGGAGAUCGGAAUUCCUGGUGUAGCGGUGAAAUGCGCAGAAUAUCAGGAGGAACACCGGUGGCGAAGGCGGAUCUCUGGGCCGUAACUGACGCUGGACGGAGCGAAAGCAUGGGG
rnacentral:rRNA from 1 species